rnacentral:rRNA from 1 species
AUUGAACGCUGGCGGAAGGCCUAACACAUGCAAGUCGAACGAGAGGCGGACGGGUGAGUAAUGGCUGGGAAACUGCCUGAUGGAGGGGGAUAACUAAUGGAAAAGAGAGCUAAUAACGCAUACCAUCAGAUGAGCCCAUAUGGGAUUAGAUAGUGGGUGGGGUAACGGCUGACCAAGGCGACGAUCCCUAGCUGGUAUGAGAGGAUGACCAGCCACACUUGACCGUCGACACUGUCCAGACUCCUACGGGAGGCAGCAGUGGGGAAUAUUGCACAAUGUGCGCAAGCCUGAUGCAGCCAUGCCGCGUGUAUUAAGAAGGCCUUCGGGUGUUAAAGGACUUUCAGCGGGGAUGCGUUACCCGCAGAAGAAGCACCGGCUAACUCCGUGCCAGCCGCCGCGGUAAGUA